UACUUAUUUGUGUUGUGCUUUAGUGCCAAGACAGAAUUGCUCUGUGAAAUUUGUUUCUUGAGCUCCCGAACUAGGUACAGGGGACAAUAAUUGGCAGUAAAUCUGAACUAAUACAGUGAUGCAGCAAUGGCGCAUUUUGUGGGUCAUGCAGCUCACAUUCGCACCUGUUCAUCCAUGACAAUCCAAUGGGAUUUUCUCAUUGGAUUUUGGAUUAGUGCGGGAAAUAAGCUCUGUGGAAAACAAGUGAUUAUGAUACAUUUUGUUCAGAUAAUCCUCACAAAGACCACUUUUAUGAUUUGUGAAGCUUAAUAUGCAAUUGCCAGAAGUGAGAGCAUUAGGCUAUGAAGAGGCUACCUGUCUCCCCACCUACCAGAAGCUAAUAUGUCACAUGUGAAACAAUUUUUGAUUUAUUAUAUCACUCUGAUAACAACCGUUUAGAUACGCUAUUAGAUUCGUAUAAAAAAAGGAAAGCAGACCAAUUAUUUUAUCCUCCAAUUCCUCUCCGUGAAAGAGGUUCAGCCGCCUGUGCGUCGCACAACGCUAAACUAUAACGUGUCUUGUUUAUGACCUCGUACUUAUCCGUAAACACAUGUUUGUAACGGGCAGACUCAGCCUCAACCGGCUAACGUUAGCUAGCCAGCAGUCUCACACCUCACACUACAGAUGUAACAUAUAUAAAUAAAGUUAUAGUAGCGGCCAAAACUGAUACUAUUACACCUCUUAAUGACACCACCCAGCGUGUUAGCCCGUAACGUUAGUUUAGUUAAUCAACGUUGGCUACAACCGGCUGAACGUGAUGUGUUGUGGGGUCCUGAGGUCAUUUCUCUUGUUUUUGUUGCUCAUAUGUUUCUGCCUCCAAAAUGAAUGAAUGUUUCUGUCUGUAACAGAUCUGCAAUCAAAAGGAACUUCUUCGGGGACAGCUGGGCCUCCUCAGCGAGACCAACAUGGUGGAUUUUGCAAUGGAUGAGUACAAUUAUUUGUAGCUAAUGAAAUAGAUAAUGAAAUCCUAUCCCGUAAGAGCCAUCGUUUAAUAGGUAAUCUAGGUUGUGGUUGGUCUCGUCACGCAGACGGAGCCAAUCGUCAAGAAGACCCAGAGACGACUGAACAGACGCAGUGCACAAGUCCCAUCCCAGCCUGCUUCCCCGGAACCUGACGGAUUCCCCGGCUUCCCCUCUCGCCCUCCGCGGCUUGGGAGAACCCCUCCAGCCAGCCGGAUCAUUACCUCUCCCUCCAGCGUGGAUUCUAUCGACUGCAGCGCUCCUGCCGCCUGGACCCCUGUGCCUCUCUGCCUCUCCAGCAUCUUCCCCGGCCACGGAUCCCGAACAAACUAUUUAAGUCCCUCUGCUGCCAAAAUAAAAUCUUUUUUCAUCCUCUGAA